CCUACGGGAGGCAGCAGUGAGGAAUAUUGGGCAAUGGGGGCAACCCUGACCCAGCCAUGCCGCGUGAGUGAAGAAGGUCUUCGGAUUGUAAAGCUCUUUCGGACGUGACGAUGAUGACGGUAGCGUCUAAAGAAGCACCGGCAAACUUCGUGCCAGCAGCCGCGGUAAUACGAAGGGUGCGAGCGUUGUCCGGAUUUACUGGGUGUAAAGGGCGUGCAGCCGGGAAGACAAGUCAGAUGUGAAAUCCCGCGGCUCAACCGCGGAACUGCAUUUGAAACUGUUUUUCUUGAGUACCGGAGAGGUCAUCGGAAGUCCUUGUGUAGCGGUGAAAUGCGUAGAGAUAAGGAAGAACACCAGUGGCGAAGGCGGAUGACUGGACGGCAACUGACGGUGAGGCGCGAAAGCGUGGGGAGCAAACAGGAUUAGAUACCCCAGUAGUC
rnacentral:rRNA from 1 species